UGGUGGGGCUGUGUCCUUUCAGCAUGCUGCAAGUGUCCUAGGACACUGAAAAGAAAACUGAAGGCUUCCAGUGUUCUCAUAGGGGAAAAUGGGGCUAGCGAGGGGGAAGGUUGGCAGCGACACUUCCCCCCAUGGGAUGGUUGAAGUAUCAGAAUUUUUAAAAAUACAAUCAGUGAACGAAAAUAUAUCUGGUCUUGAAGAAAAGGGAAAGAGCUGCAUGCCCCAUCAGAGAAAUGAUCCAGUAAAAAAAGUCACAAGUGCUGCUGAGUGAAGGCCUCUAUAGAUGAACCCUUUUUUGAAGUAAUGAUUACUGAGGGAAUUUCUGCAAAGGAGAUACAGAUAUUGACUUUAAAGAAACUGUCUAAAAUGCUGAAUCCUAUUUCCAAAAGUUUCUGCAUCUUGAAUAUGUGCUUUCAAGUCUGACAGUAAAUUCACCACAACACUGUUGUGGAAGCUGCCAGCUGCCCCUGCUCCUAAGGGACCUCCAUAGCAGAAGAUGAUUUUGGAAAGCAAGCAUGGAGAUACAACAGUGACAGAUUUGAUAAAAUACCUCCAGAGCUCAGCAAUGCAAUUUUAUUCUCUGAGGAGAUAAAUGAUGAUGUCUUCCUAGAACAGAUGAUCAAACUUUCAAAAAGGAGAGAUAUAGACGUUAUGGGAGGCUUUACCCACCUUGAUAUUUAUAGGAAGUCUAACUGUGCCAAAAAGGGAAUGUCCAGUAAUUUCCUCACUUGCCUUUACUUAUAAUUUCAUUGUCCAGAAAGUGGAGGAGGCAACACGGGUAUCAGCUUUGUUGGACCUGAUACAAAGCAAUAGGAAAGGACUGGUCAAUGGAGUGGAAAUAAUGGGAAGUAACCAUUGUUGCACCUAAGGUUAGCUUCACCUUGCUAGAGACACCAGGCUGCACACAGAUUGUAGUCUUUUGUAGUUUAUUAAGGAAAUAAGGAAAAAAUAGAUCAUAAAAGGUAGAAGUUCGGUUCCAGUAGAUAGUUACAAAAACAAGGUUGAAAGAAACAAAUCCAUGGAAACAUUAGGCAUGAAACAAGGUCCUUAAAACGAAGCCAAAGUCCCAGAAACGUGGAUACAUCCAGACUACAAAAUAACACAGGAAAGCAGACUUGGUUCUUGAUUCAAGUGAGGAAAUCACUUUGACAAAUUUCUCCCUCUCAACAGACUGUUUUAAUAGCAUAACAUAAAGGCGUUCCUUUGAACACCCUCUUAUUUGCUAUUCGGAGACUUCUGCACAACCCCCGAAAUUCCAGACGACUAGCCCGAUCUAGAGACAUGGCUUCAUCGCUUUCUCUUUCAAGGCCACAGGGCUCGUUAGCAUUAUCAGACAGAGGCUGGGAGCUGCUCUCCCUUUCUGCUUCUUGCACCUGAAAACCAUCAUCAUUAACAACAACAUUUCUUUUCUUGGGAAACCUUCCUGCUCCUCAUCUCCCACAGCAAGAACACUCUGCACUUGAACCCCAUAAUUCCCAUCAUCUUGAAACUCAUCCUGAACCUGAAUCCCAUCAUCUUGAAACUGCAUCCCAGAAUACUCAAACUGCAUCCCAGAAUACUCAUCAGAGUCACACAAAGGCUGAGUCACAACAACCAUGUCCUUUUGUGAUUUGGCAUACAGAAGAAAGGGAAGCCAACUAUAACAGACAUGCACUCUGGAUGUUAAUAAAGUAGAUUUCAAUGAGCUAAGAAAAGGAAAGGGAUUCAGAAUGGAUGGGAAUAUUUAAAGAGAAGAUAUUGAAUUGUAAACCAUUAUAAUGUAGUAGAAAAGUGUGAGAUGUUUUUAAAAAAACAAACAAGGAUAGGCAUACAAAGAACUUUUAGAUGAGCUGAAAUUUAAAAGUGAGCUCUAUAAAAGAUGGUGAAAUAGUAACAGUAAACAGGAAGAAGGUAAAGCUACACAGUAACACCUUUGCCUCUACCUUUUCCCAAUAGAAAAACAGUGCUCUAUCUGAUGCAAAUAGAACAAAUAAUGUAGGCCAGGAUAAAAAUGAGGUGGCAUGGUAAUAUCUAACUAUUUUAAAUUAAUUCUCAUGGCCAGAUGAAUGGCACCCAAGACUAUCAAAUGAACUAGCAAAUGU